UACGGAGGGGGCUAGCGUUGUUCGGAAUUACUGGGCGUAAAGCGCGCGUAGGCGGACCUGCAAGUCGGGGGUGAAAGCCCGAGGCUCAACCUCGGAACUGCCUUCGAUACUGCGGGUCUCGAGUCCGGGAGAGGUGAGUGGAAUUCCUAGUGUAGAGGUGAAAUUCGUAGAUAUCUGGAGGAACACCGGUGGCGAAGGCGACAUCCUGGACCGGUAUUGACGCUGAGGCGCGAAAGCCAGGGGAGCAAAGCGGGG
rnacentral:rRNA from 1 species